rnacentral:lncRNA from 1 species
UUGUUAGGCACAGAGCAGCGUGCUGUGAACUACUCCGGGGUCUUGGCAAGAGCACAGCAAGCAGUGGACAAGUUCUAUAAAAUUGAUUUUCCAAUAGUGUUGGCAUUUUCGAGAGGAAAGGGAAAAGAGACAGCAGCAGUGUGAAGCCAUCGGAUCACGUGCGUUCCUACUUAUGAAAAGGACUUGUGCUUAUCUCAGGUUAGCAACAGGAUAUGCAGUUUUAGGGCUGAUAUCAAAGGCAUUUUGGUUUAUUUAUUUAUUUAGCCACUUGCAAUAGAUGCUGUGUUGUCAGCUCCAGGAGCUGAAGUCCCUUAUUUAUGUGCCUGGAUUUCCCUGUGUCAUUCUGCCAGCGUGGCUCAACCCUGAUCUGGUUUCCACACUCAUUCAGCACUUGCUGAAAUAGUCACCUAGGGAGUAAACACUGCCAGCCAUGGCCGUGCUUUCUGAGAUAUGGAGCCCAGCCCAGUCAGAAGUUUGCCAAGAUAACCUCAUUGCAUCAUGUGCCAAAGAGCCUCAAACAGCUGGAGCAUUGAAGGACUGUGACAUUUAAACAAGAUACUGAAAAUGCAAGGUAAUCAUCGUCAUGUUAGAAUGCAUGCAAAUGUGGAAUUUAGAAAUUAAAGACUUCCUACCAUAUUUUUAUAUAUUCACCAGGCAACAUCUAGGUUCAAGGAACAGAUUAAAUACCUGGGACACUGACUUUUUUCAGUGGUGGCUUCUGGUGAGAAGCAAGGACAGUGUGGAGCCUGAAGCUUCUCCUAAGAAAAAAAUGGAUGCUCUCCUGAGAACAUCCAAUCUUCUGCACAACCACCCAGCAUAUGUGGAAGCAGCAUGAACUAAAAUCUCUUCAGAACUGGCUCAACAUUUGCAAUUCUUCAUGCUGCCAAGUUCAUGGAAAAUUACUGGUACUUGGUAGUUCUGACUUACUGCGUGGUACUGCUGUCCUUCUCACUUUGGAACUCCCAGCUCACUUUGUCUUCCUGAAAGCAGGCUUGGCUGUUCUGCCUCUCACAGACCAGCAUAGAUCUGUUUUCUCUGAGCCACUGUGAAACAUGCUGCUUCACUUCAUACACACUUCCAGAAAUAAAGGCAGGCGAAUCCUGAUGUGAUGUUCUGAU